GGUAUUCAGUGACAUCUUUCUAAAUUGUUUAAAAUGAGAAGCAUUGCACACUGAGAGUCAGGAUCCAAGUGUCUUUGACUGAGCCAACUCAGCUCUGCUAUUAACUUAUGGUGUGAUCGCAGGCUGUCUAGAAAAGGACACCAACAAUCACCCAUGAAGAUUGCCCUUCAACCUUUGGGAGGAAAUGAUCGAAAUGGGAGCUAGAGAAGAUUAUUGUUGGAAUCUCAGAGAUUAUAAGCAAUUUCUCCAUGGCUGGAAUUCAGUUGAUCUGGGACUGAACCUAUUUCUAAUGGAGCUGUGACGAGAGACCACAGUAAAUCCAAGCUUGGAAAAUGAGCUGUGUCAGCCCUCCGAAAGACAACCUCCUUUGCAACAGGAAGUUGUCAAAGCCCCAGGGACCAGAAACCAUGAAGUUAUUUGGAUGAUAGAUACAGAGAUACGCUGCUCAGAUGCCCCUUUCAAGAAAGAACUUGCUGCCUCUUGCUCAGUUUCUUCCUGGAGCUUUCAAGCAUCUUUGCAGGGAAGUCACAUCCUUCCCAGGGCAGCCCGACUGACCAAGGGAGAAGAAGUUUAACAGAGAUGAGGCAUCCUGGAAUAUCCAGGUGGCAACAUGGAGUAGGGCAAAUCAGAGAUGACUAUUUCUAGGCCAUGAAAAACCAGCAGGAUCCAUGAUGGCUGAGAAAUGACAAUAUUGGUGAAUUAAGUACAUCUCAGGGAGAAGCCUUAUUAAAUUAGCCUAAUACCUUA
rnacentral:lncRNA from 1 species